rnacentral:miRNA from 1 species
CUCCGUGCACACCCCCGCGUG